rnacentral:rRNA from 1 species
GAUGAACGCUGGCGGCGUGCCUAAUACAUGCCAGUCGAGCGAACGGACGAGAAGCUUGCUUCUCUGAUGUUAGCGGCGGACGGGUGAGUAACACGUGGAUAACCUACCUAUAAGACUGGGAUAACUUCGGGGAACCGGAGCUAAUACCGGAUAAUAUUUUGAACCGCAUGGUUCAAAAGUGAAAGACGGUCUUGCUGUCACUUAUAGAUGGAUCCGCGCUGCAUUAGCUAGUUGGUAAGGUAACGGCUUACCAAGGCAACGAUGCAUAGCCGACCUGAGAGGGUGAUCGGCCACACUGGAACUGAGACACGGUCCAGACUCCUACGGGAGGCAGCAGUAGGGAAUCUUCCGCAAUGGGCGAAAGCCUGACGGAGCAACGCCGAGUGAGUGAUGAAGGUCUUCGGAUCGUAAAACUCUGUUAUUAGGGAAGAACAUAUGUGUAAGUAACUGUGCACAUCUUGACGGUACCUAAUCAGAAAGCCACGGCUAACUACGUG